rnacentral:rRNA from 1 species
UACGUAGGGGGCAAGCGUUGUCCGGAUUUAUUGGGCGUAAAGAGCGUGUAGGCGGCCAGACAAGUCUGCUGUGAAAACUCGAGGCUCAACCUCGAGCUGUCGGUGGAAACUGUCUGGCUAGAGUCCGGAAGAGGAGUGUGGAAUUCCUGGUGUAGCGGUGAAAUGCGCAGAUAUCAGGAAGAACACCUAUGGCGAAGGCAGCACUCUGGGACGGUACUGACGCUGAGACGCGAAAGCGUGGGGAGCGAACAGG